rnacentral:rRNA from 1 species
UACGUAGGGUGCAAGCGUUGUCCGGAAUUAUUGGGCGUAAAGAGCUCGUAGGCGGUCUGUCGCGUCGGCUGUGAAAACCCGGGGCUCAACCCCGGGCCUGCAGUCGAUACGGGCAGACUAGAGUUCGGCAGGGGAGACUGGAAUUCCUGGUGUAGCGGUGAAAUGCGCAGAUAUCAGGAGGAACACCGGUGGCGAAGGCGGAUUUCUGGGCCGAUACUGACGCUGAGGAGCGAAAGCGUGGGGAGCGAACAGG